rnacentral:tRNA from 2 species
GGUCUUGUAGCUCAGUCGGAAGAGCGCCUGGUCUACACCCAGGAUGUCGGCGGUUCGAUCCCGUCCGAGACCACCA